GCGCCGGGGAUUAGUGGCGAACGGGUGAGUAACACGUGAGUAACCUGCCCUUGACUCUGGGAUAAGCCUGGGAAACUGGGUCUAAUACCGGAUAUGACUCCUCAUCGCAUGGUGGGGGGUGGAAAGCUUUUUGUGGUUUUGGAUGGACUCGCGGCCUAUCAGCUUGUUGGUGGGGUAAUGGCCUACCAAGGCGACGACGGGUAGCCGGCCUGAGAGGGUGACCGGCCACACUGGGACUGAGACACGGCCCAGACUCCUACGGGAGGCAGCAGUGGGGAAUAUUGCACAAUGGGCGAAAGCCUGAUGCAGCGACGCCGCGUGAGGGAUGACGGCCUUCGGGUUGUAAACCUCUUUCAGUAGGGAAGAAGCCCUCUUUGGGGGUGACGGUACUUGCAGAAGAAGCGCCGGCUAACUACGUGCCAGCAGCCGCGGUAAUACGUAGGGCGCAAGCGUUAUCCGGAAUUAUUGGGCGUAAAGAGCUCGUAGGCGGUUUGUCGCGUCUGCUGUGAAAGACCGGGGCUCAACUCCGGUUCUGCAGUGGGUACGGGCAGACUAGAGUGCAGUAGGGGAGACUGGAAUUCCUGGUGUAGCGGUGAAAUG
rnacentral:rRNA from 1 species